rnacentral:rRNA from 1 species
CCUACGGGUGGCUGCAGUAGGGAAUCUUCGGCAAUGGACGAAAGUCUGACCGAGCAACGCCGCGUGAGUGAAGAAGGUUUUCGGAUCGUAAAACUCUGUUGGUAGAGAAGAACGUUGGUGAGAGUGGAAAGCUCAUCAAGUGACGGUAACUACACAGAAAGGGACGCCUAACUACGUGCCAGCAGCCGAGGUAAUACGCAGGUCCCGAGCGUGGUCCGGAUUGAUUGGGCGUAAAGCGAGCGCAGGUGGUUGAUGAAGUCGGGUGUAAAAUGCAGUGGCACAUCCAAUGUAUGCAUUGACAACUGGUAGACUUGAGUGCAUGGGAGGGGGGUGGAAUUCCAGGUGUAGCGGUGAAAGGCGUAGAUAUAUGGAGGAACACCGGUGGCGAAAGCGGCUCUCUGGCCUGUAACUGACACUGAGGCUCGAAAGCGUGGGGAGCAAACAGGAUUAGAUACCCGAGUAGUC